rnacentral:rRNA from 1 species
GACGAACGCUGGCGGCGUGCCUAAUACAUGCAAGUCGAGCGCUGAAGCUUGGUACUUGUUCCAACUGGAUGAGCAGCGAACGGGUGAGUAACGCGUGGAGAAUCUGCCUUUGAGCGGGGGACAACAUCGGGAAACGAGUGCUAAUACCGCAUAAAAUCUUUAAACACAAGGUUUAAGUGUGAAAGAUGCUAUUGCAUCACCCUAAGAUGAUCCCCCGUUGUCUUAGCUAGUUGGUGAGGUAAAGGCGCCCCAAGGCGAUGAUACCUAACCGACCUGAGAGGGUGGGCGGGCCCACUGGGAAUGUGACACGCCCCACACGCCCCCGGGAGGCAGCAGUAGGGAAUCUCCGGCGAUGGGCGAAAGUCCGUCCGGGAGACGCCGCGCGAGUGAAGAGGGGGUUCGGGUCGUAAAACUCUGUUGGUUGAGAAGAACAUUGGUGAGAGUGGAAAUCUCAUCAAGUGACGGUAACUACACAGAAAGGGACGGCUAACUACGUG